UGAGGAAUAUUGCGCAAUGGGGGCAACCCUGACGCAGCGACGCCGCGUGAGUGAGGAAGGCCUUCGGGUCGUAAAGCUCUGUCAAAGGGAAAGAAGUGCAUGAUGGCUAAUACCUGUCAUGUUUGGCGGUACCCUUAAAGGAAGCACCGGCUAACUCCGUGCCAGCAGCCGCGGUAAUACGGAGGGUGCAAGCGUUGUUCGGAAUCACUGGGCGUAAAGGGCGCGUAGGCGGUUUGAUAAGUCAGAUGUGAAAGCCCACGGCUUAACUGUGGAAGUGCAUUUGAAACUGUCAGGCUUGAGUAUCAGAGGGGAAAGUGGAAUUCCCGGUGUAGAGGUGAAAUUCGUAGAUAUCGGGAGGAAUACCGGUGGCGAAGGCGACUUUCUGGCUGAAUACUGACGCUGAGGCGCGAAAGCGUGGGGAGCAAACAGGAUUAGAUACCCUGGUAGUCCACGCCGUAAACGAUGUCAACUAGAUGUAGGGGGUGUUGAUCCCCUCUGUGUCGCAGCUAACGCAUUAAGUUGACCGCCUGGGGAGUACGGUCGCAAGAUUA
rnacentral:rRNA from 1 species